GCGAGAGUAGUACAGUGGUAGUACGCUAGCCUUCCAAGCUAGAUAUGCGGGUUCGAUUCCCGUCUCUCGCUCCA
rnacentral:tRNA from 1 species